UCAUACGGCUUCUUCGAUUAAAAUCGCUACGUCACGUAGCAACAUCGAACCAACCCACGUCGUGUGGG
rnacentral:sRNA from 1 species